rnacentral:tRNA from 1 species
GCAGUGGUUGUUCAGUGAUAGAAUUCUUGCCUUCCACACAGGAGAUCUAGGUUCGAUUCUCAGCCAGUGCA